rnacentral:ncRNA from 1 species
AUAGCCUCUCGCCGUCAAGGUGCUCGGGAAGCCGGUGGAAGACCGGCGCGGCCCUCGCCACUGUGACCGGGGAGUGACCUCCGACUUGCGCCACUAGGCCGACGGCCUGGGAAGGCCGGAGGAAGCGUCGAUCCGGGAGCCAGGAGACCGGCCUUGACGGUGUGAUCUCG